ensembl:lincRNA
GGUGUCCACCCCCGGGUCUGGAAGGCGAGUUUUCCGCCUCCACCGCCCGAGAUGGGACUCCCACGGAAGAGGAUUUAUGAGUGUUUGUUUUGUUUUGUAGCGGGAUGUGGGAGGGCUGGAGUGAACUAGAUGCGGAAGAGAUUAUCUGCAGUGGAAACUGGGAAGUCAGGGAAAAGAAGGUGUGUUCCUGGAGCAGCCUGUGGUUCCGACCUGAUCGGCCCGGCCGGCUAUCAGCAGGAGCCUCUGCCGGCGCGGGCUGUCCACGCCUCGCCCCCGGGAGCUUGUGUUAAAUACGUCUCACAGGCACUCCCUCUUGUCUGGCUGCAGAGGCUCCACCUUGUUCUGCAAGCCGCCCUCUCACCACCAGCAAGGAGGUGGCGUCCUGCAGCUCCUUGCCCGCGCUGCAGGGCCAAGGGAGCCUGCGCUCUUCACAGCCCCCAGCGGCCCCUCGGCUUCUUCACCAGCUCCUGCAGCUUCUGCACCUCCUGGUCUGCGUUCACAAUGCAGUUAACGUCCUCCAUCCCGGCCCUGCCGCCAACAGCUCAGACUCACGGAGACAGGGAAAGAGUCGGAGGAAAGAGGCAUCCGUCCUAGAGCACUAGGAGGCUCUGCCGCCAGGGUCUCCCAGCUGGGGCUGCGAAAUUCGCUGGCCUCACCCAAGCCUCUUCAUCUGCACCCGCUCUGGGAGAGGCGGCCUCGAUUUAGGGUUUUGUACGUCACAUGCUGUAUAUGUUCUUUCUCACUCUGGUCUCUGUUCUGUUUUCCAGACUUAACUCCUUUUUCUGAAGUUCUCUUUUUUUUAGGUCCCCCAAUCUGGUGUUUCCUGACAGAAGGACGAACACUUGUCUCCUCAUUUUCUUCUUGGGUCUUGCAAAUGUGAGAGCCUCAACUCAAGACUGCUGAGUCAAAGCUGCUGCAGAGGCGGCUAGAGAAGAUGUGGAUCUGAGUUUUGAAUUUGUUUCUGCCAUUUUUUGGAUAUGUGAACUUGGACAAGCUACUCAGCUUCUUGGCAACUCAGUUUACUCUUCUAUAAAAUGGCAAUGAUAAUAAUACCAAUUUAUGGAAUUGUCAUGAGAAUUAAAUGAGUUAGCAUUUGUGAGCCAAAUAGGUUAGUCACAAGCAUAUGGUAACACCCAGUAAAUGUUAACUACAUAAUGUUUUUACUCUUGGAUCUAACUCAAUGAGUGAGGACAGAGGUGUUUGUUUCAGUCUUCUUUCUCAUCAGAAAAAGCUGUGAUUUUUCUUAUUUGUUUUAGCCGAAGCAACAAGAACACAUUACCAAAGGGAUACAAAAGUCACAUACAGAAAUUCUACCAGGAUUUUAGCUUUGUCCACUGAGAAGAAGCAACUCAGGCAAAUGGUCAGACAUCUUUGACAUUUUUCUGUGCUUGGCAUGCAUUGUGAGACACAUAAGCUAUCUGCAAGUGGUUCUCUAUUAGCUUUACAAAUAGACAAAAACUUCAUUAGGUUCCAAACUGCCCUUUCUUUUUUUCCUUUUCUCUCAUUGAGUGUAUUGGUACAUUUUAGGUAUACAGUAGUUACAUUCAUCAUUGGGAUCUUGUACCUUUACAUGACGGGUCUUGAUUCUCAUUUUUUCCCUUGUCCCUGACCUCCCUUCACCCCCUCCUCCCCUCCUCAUUUACAAACACUUUAUUUCCAUUUUUUCAUUUUCACAUAUUUUUUUCUUUUCCCUUAUUAGCUUUCCCCUACCCUUCCCACUUUCCCUACACCUUCAGCUCUUUUCUUCCUGUUUCACAUUGUCAAUUAUAUCAUGAGGAUCGUAUGUACUGUUAUAGUUUUUCACACCAGAGAAACUGUUUGGUAUUUACACAUGUGUGACUUAUUUAUUUCACUUAGGAGUAUGUCUACCCCUCACCCCAGAAGAGGUUUCCCACCUGGUCUGGCAUUAUAGUACAGCACCCUUGACGGAUGUUGUUCUGCUCAGCCCCUGUCUGAAUAGCUCCAGAGAUACACUUAUUACCUGUCAACAUUAUUUGUUUUAUUGAAAAAUAGGGGGUUCAUAGAACAGUCUGUUGUAUCUGUAAACAAAGUGCAUUUUUUCCCAUGCAUGGCCUUUUAAUAAAUAAUGUUAGGCUGUUUCACCUUCUAAGUAUGUUGUCCAAUAAAAUAUAGCAGGUGUGAGGAAUCACAUCCACUUUGCCAGUUGAAAUCAUAUUGAUUACAACUGAAUCCAGAAAAGCAAGACUCUUUAUUUGCCCCUUUCUCAGAUGUAUCCCAUAUAAUUCCAUAAUGGCAGAUAUAUGGUUAGUUUUGGUCAGGCCCAAAAAUGUGCCCAGGAUUUGGAUGCCCCUAUACACAUGCUUUAUUUAUUGCUAAGGCAUGGAAAUCUUCAGCUUCAACUGGUCCUAUUUUUUUUCCAAGUGGAGACUGUCAGAGUUCAUUAAUUGAUCCCAAUGACAUUACCUUCUUCUACAAUUACAUAAGAUGUUCUUGCUUCCUCUUCAUUAUCUCCCAUAAGAACAUUUCAAAGUUAAACACCAUACACAUUCGUAGCAUUGUGCUCCAAACUGCCCCUUCUGACAGAUCUGACUGAGACCGAACAUGCUGUCUAGUUGCUGUAUUUUAGUCCUUUAUUCUUUUCUAUCUGUAAUUAUGAGAUCAAGCUUCUCUAUAUCCAAUAUACAGGUCACAGUUUUGUGCAUGGCCCCUGCAAUGAUACCCCAUUAUUGGACCCAUGUUUCCAUUAGUGCACUUGAGAGUUACUGGAUCAUUUCUCUUCUGGGCCUUGGCAUGAGGUUUCUCAAUGUGUCAAGCCAGUGACUUUCAUGCUAAAUACUCCUUUUAGGUAAAGAGAACAUAUUUAAUUAUCUUUCAAGGAACUCCCUUAAGACAGAAGUGUGGUAUUAUAUAUUGUGUUCUAUUAAAUUAAAACUUUGAAUUGACACUACCUUUUGUUACAAUCAGAC